rnacentral:rRNA from 1 species
GACGAACGCUGGCGGCGUGCCUAAUACAUGCAAGUCGAACGCUGAAGGAGGAGCUUGCUUCUCUGGAUGAGUUGCGAACGGGUGAGUAACGCGUAGGUAACCUGCCUGGUAGCGGGGGAUAACUAUUGGAAACGAUAGCUAAUACCGCAUAAGAGUAGAUGUCGCAUGACAUUUGCUUAAAAGGUGCAAUUGCAUCACUACCAGAUGGACCUGCGUUGUAUUAGCUAGUUGGUGAGGUAACGGCUCACCAAGGCAACGAUACAUAGCCGACCUGAGAGGGUGAUCGGCCACACUGGGACUGAGACACGGCCCAGACUCCUACGGGAGGCAGCAGUAGGGAAUCUUCGGCAAUGGACGGAAGUCUGACCGAGCAACGCCGCGUGAGUGAAGAAGGUUUUCGGAUCGUAAAGCUCUGUUGUAAGAGAAGAACGAGUGUGAGAGUGGAAAGUUCACACUGUGACGGUAUCUUACCAGAAAGAGACGGCUAACUACGUG